rnacentral:ncRNA from 1 species
UUAUUACUUAAUAUACACAUGCAAGCAUCCACUUCCCGGUGAAAACGCCCUUUAACCCCUCUUAGGGAUCAGGAGCCGGUAUCAGGCACGAUAAUCUGCCCAAAACACCUAGCUUUGCCACACCCACAAGGGAAUUCAGCAGUGAUUAACAUUGAGCAUAAGCGCAAGCUUGACUCAGUUGAAGUAAAAUAGAGCCGGCCAAUCUGGUGCCAGCCGCCGCGGUUACACCACGUGACUCAAAUUGACCUUACUCCGGCGUAAAGCGUGAUUAAAGUUUUCCCUAACUAGAGCUAAACCCUUACCGAGCUGUGACACGCCUGUUUAUUAAGAAACUCAAAAACGAAAGUUACUCUAAUACCACCAACUUGAAUUCACGACAGCUGGGAAACAAACUGGGAUUAGAUACCCCACUAUGCCCAGCCAUAAACCUUUAAUUACAUCUCCACCAUAUCGCCAGGGAACUACGAGCCAAGCUUAAAACCCAAAGGACUUGACGGUACCCCAUAUCCCCCUAGAGGAGCCUGUCCUAUAACCGAUAAUCCACGUUAAACCUCACCAUUUUCUAGAUAUCAGCCUGUAUACCUCCGUCGUCAGCUUACCACGUGAGCGCCAAUUAGUGAGCCCAAUGCUUCUUCACCAACACGUCAGGUCAAGGUGCAGCAAAUGAAAUGGGAAGAGAUGGGCUACACUUUCUACAUUAGAAAAAAACGAAAAACUUUAUGAAACCUAGUUAGAAGGCGGAUUUAGCAGUAAAAAGGAAUCAGAAUAUCCAUUUUAACCUGGCACUGGGGUGUGUACACACCGCCCGUCACCCUCUUCAAAAUCAUAACAAAGUUUUUAACAAACCAAGAUAUAAUAGAAGAGGCAAGUCGUAACAUGGUAAGUAUACCGGAAGGUGUGCUUGGAAA